rnacentral:rRNA from 1 species
UACGUAGGGUGCAGGCGUUAAUCGGAAUUACUGGGCGUAAAGGGCGCGUAGGCGGCACUGUUAGUCAGGCGUGAAAGUCCUGGGCUCAACCUGGGAACUGCGCUUGAUACGGCAGAGCUAGAGGAUGGAAGAGGGUCGCGGAAUUCCCAGUGUAGAGGUGAAAUUCGUAGAUAUUGGGAAGAACACCGGUGGCGAAGGCGGCGACCUGGUCCAUUACUGACGCUGAGGCGCGACAGCGUGGGGAGCAAACAGG